ACAUUACACGUAACAGACAUAUUGUGCCCGUUACAAAUGCCCAAACUUGGCCCAACGUAUGAGAGGAGCCCAAUAUUUAGCUUUUUAGGGUUUCACCCAAAUGCCCAAACUAUGCCGUCAUUCGCCUCUUUCUCUCUCAUCAGUCCCUCACUCCCUCUCUCUCUCCUCUCCUCUUCUCUCCUCCCCGUAAUUCAACAAUCUUGCCCAUCAAUCUCAGGCCCUCUCUCGUCUCAUUUCAAAAUCACGACCUCUCUCCUCUACUCCAUCAAUCGAUCUUCCCCUUCCAUUGGAGAAAAACAGCGAGAUGGAACGACGAGAGAGAAAAAUGGUUAAAUUGACUGGGGUUGCGCCAGAUCUCCUUCAAUCCGCCUUUCCGCCGCCCUCCUUCACCGUUUCUCCUUAAUCUCGCCCGCAAUUCUCGCCGCCUCUCUUUCACUAACCCUAGUAUGAAAGAUCAAAGGAGGAACAUGAGGAGAAGCAUAAGAUUCUUAAAGAGAUAAUUGAGACUAUGAAGCACAGAAGCCACCUUGACAGCAGCAUUGAAUUCAUCGGAAAACUUUUAUUUGGACUAAACAAUGGCCCUUCGGUCCUACGCGCAAAGCCAAGCCGUGGAAUUCCGCUUGUGGAUGAUUGGGAUUUCUUGAAAUCAAUGGUUCGGGUGUUUGAGAAAGAAUGUGGGACCUUAACUCAAUACGGGAUGAAACAUAUGCGGGCCUUUGCAAACAUCUGUAACAAGGAUAUUCCGCUAUCAGUAAUGCAAGAAGCUUGUGUUGCAGCUUGCUGUGGGCACAACUCUGGCGAGUGGCAUCCAUCAUUCCAUGGUUAUAGUGCUUAACUGGCUUUUCAGUUGUUAUAUAAUGCUACAUAUUACUGUAUCAUAUGUGUGAAUGUGUUGUUAGACGGUUAGACUAGACCACAACACGGUGAUAUACUACGGUCCAGAAAGUGACUACUCUGUAGUGUGUUAUGUGGUCAAUUUCCCAGCUUACGUGCUUAAUCAGUGCAUGUGUUCAUAAAUAUUUUGCAUAAUUGGCACUUUCAUGGGGUAUGGACUAUGCCCACUAUGGUCCCUUAGGACCCUUACCCCAAGACGUGAGGUUGAAUUCUACCUCUUGGUUUUCCCCACGUAGAUUCGAUUGGGAUGUUUUAACGAGCACGAGUUCAAUAAUGUAGGUUAUAUAUACUCAUGCUUGAAACAAAGAUUAGAUGUCUUAGUUCUAAGACAAAAUAGUCACUUUGCAACAUUACUUUUAUUCAGGGAGUAAUUAUAAAAGUAAAAAGCGGGUUGGUGGGAAAUAGAUUUGAGUUCAUCAUGUAUUCUUGUGAGUUUUGCUCAGUUAGUUUAGGACUUUAGGUUCAUGCUUUUUUUGACCUUAAGUAUAUGUGAAAGCCCAUGAUAAAUGAACACUGGCUGUGGUUUGCAAUUGUUUGAAUUUUGGUGUACUAUUUUUAAGUGGAGAAAAGCUACUGAUUGAAUUAUUGGGUGCAGAGUAAAUUAUAAUUGGGGGACAUAUCAGUCAAACAUCUGUAUGUGAUGUGUAUUGGAGAGGUUUUCUAUCCAGAUUGGACAUCUUUCAAGUUCAAGCAAGUGACCUGUCUGGUAGUUCUUUGGAAAACAGUCCUCAUAGUUUUAGAGAUGAUCAAACUCAGGCUAACAGCACAAAUGAGGGCAUUGACAGUACUCAUGUACUAAAUGAUCCUCAAAUUGAGGUUCUUGAUAGUGCUCAAGUACAGAAUGAGCUUGCAAAUGAGAUCCUAGAUGAUGCUCAACAAAAUGAGUCUGCAAAUGAGAUCCUUGCUGGGACUUGUGAACAAAGUGAUGUUGAAGAAAAUGCUGGUGUUGGUCCAUCUGCUGAUGUAAAUCAGUCGAGAGGGCAGUGAGCACAUUAAUUUACAACAAUUGGAAGUUCAAGCUGAAAUGACGCUGGAGCUUGCCUCAGAUGCGGAGAAUAGAUCAAAGACAAUUAUGAAUUUUUUGAGAUGUAAAUUUAAAAUUUGAUGUGCCAUAUUUUGAUAAUAUUUGUGUGCCUUUGUGGCCUGGAAAUCAGUAAUUGGGUUUUUGUUUGUUAA